rnacentral:tRNA from 1 species
UCCUGGGUGGCUCAGUUGGUUAAGCUUCUGACUCUUGAUUUCAGUUCAGGUCAUGAUUCCAGGGUUAUGGGUUCAAAUCCCAUCUUGGGCU